CAUCACUAGAUCUUGCUGAUAUCCUUGUGAAGCUCAGAUGCAGCAUGAUGUAGUGGUGUG
rnacentral:pre_miRNA from 1 species